GUGCUUGUUCCAGCAACAUAUAUACUAAAAUUGAAAUGAUACAGAUAAUAUUAGCAUGGCCCCUGCACAAGGAUGACACAAAUUUGUGAAGUGUUCCAUGUAUUU
rnacentral:snRNA from 1 species